rnacentral:rRNA from 1 species
CCAGACUCCUACGGGAGGCAGCAGUGAGGAAUAUUGGUCAAUGGCCGAGAGGCUGAACCAGCCAAGUCGCGUGAGGGAUGACGGCCCUACGGGUUGUAAACCUCUUUUGUCGGGGAGCAAAGAGAGUCACGUGUGGCUCAUUGAGAGUACCCGAAGAAAAAGCAUCGGCUAACUCCGUGCCAGCAGCCGCGGUAAUACGGAGGAUGCGAGCGUUAUCCGGAUUUAUUGGGUUUAAAGGGUGCGUAGGCGGAAUGCCAAGUCAGCGGUAAAAUCGCGGGGCUCAACCUCGCUCCGCCGUUGAAACUGGCGUUCUUGAGUGGGCGAGAAGUAUGCGGAAUGCGUGGUGUAGCGGUGAAAUGCAUAGAUAUCACGCAGAACUCCGAUUGCGAAGGCAGCAUACCGGCGCCCAACUGACGCUGAAGCACGAAAGCGUGGGUAUCGAACAGGAUUAGAUACCCCAGUA